AUUCUUUNAGUAUCAAUAAGUACAACUGACUUCCAAUCAGUUAGUUUUGGUCUAANCCAAAAAAGAAUA
rnacentral:tRNA from 1 species